rnacentral:rRNA from 1 species
AAGAAGCUUGCUUUCUCUUGAGAAGCGGCGGACGGGUGAGUAAUGCCUAGGAAUCUGCCUGGUAGUGGGGGAUAACGUCCGGAAACGGACGCUAAUACCGCAUACGUCCUACGGGAGAAAGCAGGGGACCUUCGGGCCUUGCGCUAUCAGAUGAGCCUAGGUCGGAUUAGCUAGUUGGUGAGGUAAUGGCUCACCAAGGCGACGAUCCGUAACUGGUCUGAGAGGAUGAUCAGUCACACUGGAACUGAGACACGGUCCAGACUCCUACGGGAGGCAGCAGUGGGGAAUAUUGGACAAUGGGCGAAAGCCUGAUCCAGCCAUGCCGCGUGUGUGAAGAAGGUCUUCGGAUUGUAAAGCACUUUAAGUUGGGAGGAAGGGUACUUACCUAAUACGUGAGUAUUUUGACGUUACCGACAGAAUAAGCACCGGCUAACUCUGUGCCAGCAGCCGCGGUAAUACAGAGGGUGCAAGCGUUAAUCGGAAUUACUGGGCGUAAAGCGCGCGUAGGUGGUUCGUUAAGUUGGAUGUGAAAUCCCCGGGCUCAACCUGGGAACUGCAUCCAAAACUGGCGAGCUAGAGUAUGGUAGAGGGUGGUGGAAUUUCCUGUGUAGCGGUGAAAUGCGUAGAUAUAGGAAGGAACACCAGUGGCGAAGGCGACCACCUGGACUGAUACUGACACUGAGGUGCGAAAGCGUGGGGAGCAAACAGGAUUAGAUACCCUGGUAGUCCACGCCGUAAACGAUGUCAACUAGCCGUUGGGGAGCCUUGAGCUCUUAGUGGCGCAGCUAACGCAUUAAGUUG